rfam:Triticum aestivum genome assembly, contig: Triticum_aestivum_CS42_TGACv1_scaffold_471461_6AL
GUUAAGGGGUAUGUUGUCUGGCUCGGUGCCCCCGGUCGAGAUUGAUAGUCGUCGACUCUCCGACGGGAGACGUCGAUUGAUCGGGGACGUCGGACCAGGCUUCAUUCCCUUUAAC